rnacentral:rRNA from 1 species
UACGUAGGGGGCGAGCGUUACCCGGAUUUACUGGGCGUAAAGCGCGUGUAGGCGGCUGGCCAAGCGUGGUGUGAAAUCUUCGGGCUUAACCCGAAAACUGCAUUGCGAACUGGUCUGGCUAGAGUGUGUGAGAGGGUAGUGGAAUUCCCGGUGUAGCGGUGAAAUGCGUAGAUAUCAGUCGGAACACCGGUGGCGAAGGCGGCUUCUUGGGCCGUUUCUGACGCUGAGGCGCGAAAGCCAGGGGAGCGAACGGG